GAGAGAGAGAGAUUUGCUUGGAGGCAAAAUGGUCCAGCUCCACAGGUUAACGAAAAAAAAACUAAUUCCAAUAAUGUAAUAAUAUAACCAUGUUAUUUCAAUGUGUUCUGUUAAACUUGAUACAAUCAUUGUAAAUGUGAGAGCCCUGUAAUUAGCUAAAACUGUAUUAGACUAGUAGAAUGCACUUGUGUCAGCUUGGAGUUGUCAUGCUCACUCAAAGGUCUCAUUGGCGGUGGCACGGGCAUUGGAUCGCUCGAUUCCCUGCAACAUGGUUGAGUUGGGCGGUGCUGGUGUACGUGUCAUGUUCGUGAACGGGCGCUGUCAACUGGGACUGGUCAGCUCCGGACUGCAUUAAUUUUUAUUGUCCUCUAGGUUAUUUUCUUUUUCUGUCGCUUUGACUGUAUAUUAGUUUUACAUUGUUCUCACAUAGUUGAAGUAAUCAAAACAAUGUAACCAAGAAUUGUAUUGUGAAUCUGAUUGAAAAAGAGUAACCUAUGGAGUUUCUUGCUCGUUCUUCUCCAUAGGAAUCUACACUUUGGAACGAGCAAAUAGCUUCACUAGAGGACUGACCGACAGACAGACGUUAUUAAUAUUAUUAUAUUUGCUUUGACGUUCAAAAGUGCCUUUCUGGUCUAUUUGAAAUAAAUGAUUUUGACUUUGA